rnacentral:lncRNA from 1 species
GAUGAUUGAUUCAGUUAUUAAAAGCGAUUAUUAUAGGAUUACGAUUAGAAUGUGGAAAUUAGUAGCAAUUAUAUGGGAGUUGUAGAAGUUUGUUGGAAGGCCUGACUGUGAUAGUCAUGAAUCGAGAUUAAGCUUGGUGCUUCUUCUUUAUUUUUUUUUUUGUUUUGUUUUCUUUGUUGUUGAAGAGUAAUGGAUCAUUUUUGAAUACUAAGAAGUGAGUGUGUGGAAUAAAUCAAAGAUUGAUUUAUGAAUUAUUGAUUAUGUAAUUGGAGUAUUUAGUGAUUGAAUUCUAUAAGUAGUUAUUGGAAGAUUGAUUAUGGAUGGAAGAUUAUGAUUGUUGUUUAUUAAGAGUUGUGUAUGUGUGUUUUGACAGAGGAAAUCUAUGAUUACAGAAAUUCUGUGAAUUCAAAUUGGUUGAAAUUAAGUUUGUUAUUCCUGGUGUUGGAUGGAAUUUAUUGAAUUUUGAGUGAUCUUUUGAGAUUGCACGGUUGUACAUUGUGGUUAUCAAUUGAUGAAGGAGUAUUGUUAAUUAGAGGAAGCAUUGUAGUAUUUUUUAGUAUUUUAGUGGUCCCGAAUAUAGUUUAUUGUGUGACCUU